rnacentral:misc_RNA from 1 species
AUAGCAAUUACCUCACCAACUUUAAUUUCUUUUGAUCCGUCCCCCUUUAUUAUCUUUGCAAGGAAACCUUCUUCCAUGCAUUCCAUCUCGACUGUUGCUUUAUCCGUUUCAACUUCGCAUAGUACUUCACCAGGUGAAAUUUUUUCACCCUCUUUCUUCAGCCACCUUGCUAUAUUACCCUCUGUCAUUGUGGGUGAGAGAGAAGGCAUUCCAAUCUCUUGGUG